rnacentral:rRNA from 1 species
GCUGGCGGCACGCCUAACACAUGCAAGUCGAACGCAGUAGCAAUACUGAGUGGCAAACGGGUGAGUAUAAUGUGGGAAUCUGCCUUUUGGUUUGGAAUAACACGGGGAAACUUGUGCUAAUACCGAAUAAGCCCUUACGGGGAAAGUUUUAACGCCGAAAGAUGAGCCUGCACUUGAUUAGCUAGUUGGUAAGGUAAAGGCUUACCAAGGCUACGAUCAAUAGCUGUUCUUAGAGGAAGACCAGCCACAUUGGGACUGAGACACGGCCCAGACUCCUACGGGAGGCAGCAGUGGGGAAUCUUGCACAAUGGGGGAAACCCUGAUGCAGCGAUGCCGCGUGAGUGAAGAAGGCCCUUGGGUUGUAAAACUCUUUCGUCGGGGAAGAAAAUGACUGUACCCGAAUAAGAAGGUCCGGCUAACUUCGUGCCAGCAGCCGCGGUAAUACGAAGGGACCUAGCGUAGUUCGGAAUUACUGGGCUUAAAGAGCUCGUAGGUGGUUAAAAAAGUUGAUGGUGAAAUCCCAAGGCUCAACCUUGGAACUGCCAUCAAAACUUUUUAGCUAGAGUGUGAUAGAGGUAAGUGGAAUUUCUAGUGUAGAGGUGAAAUUCGUAGAUAUUAGAAAGAACACCAAAUGCGAAGGCAACUUACUGGGUCACUACUGACACUGAGGAGCGAAAGCAUGGGUAGCGAAGAGGAUUAGAUACCCUCGUAGUCCAUGCCGUAAACGAUGUGUGCUAGACGUUGGAAAUAUAUUUUUCAGUGUCGCAGCGAAAGCAUUAAGCACACCGCCUGGGGAGUACGACC